GGACGAACGCUGGCGGCGUGCUUAACACAUGCAAGUCGAGCGGUAAGGCCCUUUCGGGGGUACACGAGCGGCGAACGGGUGAGUAACACGUGGGUGACCUGCCCUCAGCUCUGGGAUAAGCCUGGGAAACCGGGUCUAAUACCGGAUAUGACUCCAUGACGCAUGUUGUGGGGUGGAAAGCCUUGUGCGGCUGAGGAUGGGGCCCGCGGCCUAUCAAGCUUGUUGGUGGGGUGANGGCCUACCAAGGCGACGACGGGUAGCCGGCCUCGAGAGGCGACCGGCCAC
rnacentral:rRNA from 1 species